CUCGUAGGCGGCCAACUAAGUCAGACGUGAAAUCCCUCAGCUUAACUGGGGAACUGCGUCUGAUACUGGAUGGCUUGGAUUUGGGAGAGGGAUGCGGAAUUCCAGGUGUAGCGGUGAAAUGCGUAGAUAUCUGGAGGAACACCGGUGACGAAGGCGGCAUCCUGGACCAACAUUGACGCUGAGGAGCGAAAGCCAGGGGAGCAAACG
rnacentral:rRNA from 1 species